rnacentral:rRNA from 1 species
GUGUUACUGCGAAGGGGGGACGGAGAAGGCUAUGUUAGCCGGGCGACGGUUGUCCCGGUUUAAGCAUGUAGGCGGAGGUUCCAGGUAAAUCCGGUACCUUUUAACGCUGAGGUGUGAUGACGAGGCACUACGGUGCUGAAGUAACAAAUGCCCUGCUUCCAGGAAAAGCCUCUAAGCAUCAGGUAACAUUAAAUCGUACCCCAAACCGACACAGGUGGUCAGGUAGAGAAUACCAAGGCGCUUGAGAGAACUCGG